rnacentral:rRNA from 1 species
GACGAACGCUGGCGGCGUGCUUAACACAUGCAAGUCGAACGGAAAGGCCCUGCUCUUGUGGGGUGCUCGAGUGGCGAACGGGUGAGUAACACGUGAGUAACCUGCCCUUGACUUUGGGAUAACUUCAGGAAACUGGGGCUAAUACCGGAUAGGAGCUCCUGCUGCAUGGUGGGGGUUGGAAAGUUUCGGCGGUUGGGGAUGGACUCGCGGCUUAUCAGCUUGUUGGUGGGGUAGUGGCGUACCAAGGCUUUGACGGGUAGCCGGCCUGAGAGGGUUACCGGCCACAUUGGGACUGAGAGACGCCGCAGACGCCUACGGGAGGCAGCAGGGGGGAAUAUUGCACAAUGGGCGGAAGCCUGAUACAGCAGCGCCGCGUGCGUGAUGACGGCCUUCGGGUUGUAAACCGCUGUCGCCUGUGACGAAGCGUGAGUGACGGUAAUGGGUAAAGAAGCACCGGCUAACUACGUG